ACCACCAUCAUCACCAUCGGUCGCACGCCGCGCCGCCACCACCACCACCACCACCGUUACCACCCGUCGUCUCCGUCGUCACCAUCACCUCUCCUCCUCCACCCCAUCAUCA
rnacentral:ribozyme from 1 species